AUACAUCUGUACUUAGGAAACUAGACUAUUGUUUUACAGAUGACAUUUCUACAACAAUUUCCUUUUAUUUCCCUUGCGCAUGGAGCAAUGUUCCAUUUGAAAACUGGAAACAAUUCCAGCUGUUUCAAGAGUUGGGAGGAGGAGAAGCAAGAAGGAGAGGCUGUCCUCUCCUUGGUCAGAGACUAAAGGCAGAACAAUAAAGACUGGAAUAGGGAUGGGUGGUGGUAGAAGAAUCCCAAGGAGAAGAUAGAACGGUUUCCCUUCCUAGCUGGCAAUUCCCCAGCCCUGGCUCUUCAGUGAUUUCCCAAAAACUUUGGGACCAAACACACACUCCUAUGCAUGGCUUGGGUGAAACUGGAUACCUGAGGAAGGUGGCAAAGAGGAUCAGGAAAGAAGAGAAGGAAGGUGGAACACUGAAGCAUAGACUACCUUCAACAGGAUUGGUUGAUGGUGAAAACCAUUACGAAGCAUGUAUACCUGAAUCCCUGAAUCGCUGUGUUGUACAGCAGAAAUUAUCACAACAUUGUACAUCAACUGCACUUCAAUAAAACUUUAAAAAAUGAGCAAAAAAGCACUCUUUUAGCAGCUG
ensembl:lncRNA